GGCUCACCUAGGCGACGAUCCCUAGCUGGUCUGAGAGGAUGACCAGCCACACUGGAACUGAGACACGGUCCAGACUCCUACGGGAGGCAGCAGUGGGGAAUAUUGCACAAUGGGCGCAAGCCUGAUGCAGCCAUGCCGCGUGUGUGAAGAAGGCCUUCGGGUUGUAAAGCACUUUCAGCGGGGAGGAAGGCGUUAAGGUUAAUAACCUUGGCGAUUGACGUUACCCGCAGAAGAAGCACCGGCUAACUCCGUGCCAGCAGCCGCGGUAAUACGGAGGGUGCAAGCGUUAAUCGGAAUUACUGGGCGUAAAGCGCACGCAGGCGGUCUGUCAAGUCGGAUGUGAAAUCCCCGGGCUCAACCUGGGAACUGCAUUCGAAACUGGCAGGCUAGAGUCUUGUAGAGGGGGGUAGAAUUCCAGGUGUAGCGGUGAAAUGCGUAGAGAUCUGGAGGAAUACCGGUGGCGAAGGCGGCCCCCUGGACAAAGACUGACGCUCAGGUGCGAAAGCGUGGGGAGCAAACAGGAUUAGAUACCCUGGUAGUCCACGCCGUAAACGAUGUCGAUUUGGAGGUUGUGCCCUUGAGGCGUGGCUUCCGGAGCUAACGCGUUAAAUCGACCGCCUGGGGAGUACGGCCGCAAGGUUAAAACUCAAAUGAAUUGACGGGGGCCCGCACAAGCGGUGGAGCAUGUGGUUUAAUUCGAUGCAACGCGAAGAACCUUACCUGGUCUUGACAUCCACAGAACUUUCCAGAGAUGGAUUGGUGCCUUCGGGAACUGUGAGACAGGUGCUGCAUGGCUGUCGUCAGCUCGUGUUGUGAAAUGUUGGGUUAAGUCCCGCAACGAGCGCAACCCUUAUCCUUUGUUGCCAGCGGUCCGGCCGGGAACUCAAAGGAGACUGCCAGUGAUAAACUGGAGGAAGGUGGGGAUGACGUCAAGUCAUCAUGGCCCUUACGACCAGGGCUACACACGUGCUACAAUGGCAUAUACAAAGAGAAGCGACCUCGCGAGAGCAAGCGGACCUCAUAAAGUAUGUCGUAGUCCGGAUUGGAGUCUGCAACUCGACUCCAUGAAGUCGGAAUCGCUAGUAAUCGUAGAUCAGAAUGCUACGGUGAAUACGUUCCCGGGCCUUGUACACACCGCCCGUCACACCAUGGGAGUGGGUUGCAAAAGAAGUAGGUAGCUUAACCUUCGGGAGGGCGCUUACCACUUUGUGAUUCAUGACUGGGGUGAAGUCGUAACAAGGUAACCGUAGGGGAACCUGCGGUUG
rnacentral:rRNA from 1 species